GCAUCGAUGAAGAACGCAGUGAAUUGCGUUAAGAAUCACGAAUUACAGAUAUUAUGAGUGAUAUGUUUUCGAUUGCAUAUUGCAUCGUUGGGCACUUGCCCAUCGGUAUACUCAACUCAGGGUGUUUAUCAAGAACUCCCAAUCCAACACAAUGCCCGUGGUUGUUGUUGGUCGUGCUUGAACGUUCCGUUCGAAACGAGAUGCUGCUGAACUGAGGUUUGAAUGAGCGAAAGGUGCUGUUUGGGUGCUGCUUGUGUCUGAUUCACUCAAACAAGUGGUGCCCUGCCGGCACACUUCCCAGACUUCUCAGCGCCACGCAUCACUGGUUAAUCCACCUGAGUUGAAUAUGAUCACCCGCCGAACUUAAGCAUAUCAAUAAGCGGAGGA
rnacentral:rRNA from 1 species